rnacentral:rRNA from 1 species
UGGGGAAUAUUGCACAAUGGGCGAAAGCCUGAUGCAGCGACGCCGCGUGAGGGAUGACGGCCUUCGGGUUGUAAACCUCUUUCAGCAGGGAAGAAGCGAAAGUGACGGUACCUGCAGAAGAAGCGCCGGCUAACUACGUGCCAGCAGCCGCGGUAAUACGUAGGGCGCAAGCGUUGUCCGGAAUUAUUGGGCGUAAAGAGCUCGUAGGCGGUUAGUCGCGUCUGCUGUGAAAACUCGAGGCUCAACCUCGGGCUUGCAGUGGGUACGGGCUGACUAGAGUGCGGUAGGGGUGACUGGAAUUCCUGGUGUAGCGGUGGAAUGCGCAGAUAUCAGGAGGAACACCGAUGGCGAAGGCAGGUCACUGGGCCGCAACUGACGCUGAGGAGCGAAAGCAUGGGGAGCGAACAGGAUUAGAUACCCUGGUAGUCCAUGCCGUAAACGUUGGGCACUAGGUGU